UAGAAACAGUAAAGUUUUUUAAAGCUGUUUGAAGAAAUCGUAGAUCCUCGUGAGCACCAGGAGGCGCUGCAGAGUCAAGUUACGUAGAUUUUAGUUGAUUUUUUUUAGGGUAAAUUUUUACUCAAAAAUGUGUAACAUUAAAUCAUCGACUCUAAUCUGACAUCUGGAGAUAAAUUAUCGAAUUAAACGGGAACAAAGACUGAACGAUGAGUGAAAACUGUCCGUCAGCUUCCUGUUGACUGACCUGAAACCUUCCUCCUCCCAGUUAUGAUUAAUGGUUGCCCUCCUCUUCCUCACUAGCUUCCUCUUUUUACAGUAUGUUUGUGGUUUCUGGACUGAGUGGUGUGUGUUUACCUGUAGUUUUCUCUUUUCUAUAAAGUGGAGAGCGCUCGAUGACAACUGAUGAGCUCUUUUAACAGAUUGUAAUCUUUAUAAUAAACUGUCAUUUAUUACGAACUAAGCCCCGCCUUCCUGGGUUUUAUUAUGAUCCUGUGAGUUAAUGAUAACAAUGCCAUAUUCCAUCACAAUGGUUUUUUUUUUUAGGUUUUUUUUGCACGUUUUUGUGCCACAUGAAAAAGGACGACAGUGUUUUUCUGUAUAUCAACAACAAAAAGUAAUAUUUAAUAAAUGUUCAAAAAAACAAAACAUUUACAUAAACUCAUACAGUGGAUUUAUUAAGCUGUCUGUUUWGAUAAAUACUGAAAAUUAAAUAGAACUGAAUUAAGGCUGAAACCACAGAUUUUUUAUUGUUGUUGUUGUAGUUUCGUGUCUCGGCCAGCAGAGGGCGCGCUGUUUCCUCACCUCACGUCCUCCGAGGCUUCGCUUCCUGAUGUCGCUUCCGUUUCAGAUGAGCUAAGUCCUGAAACCGUGAGAGCAAAAAUAUGAUGCAGAGAAAUGUGAUUAAAAUGUCCUCAGAAAAUCCAACAAGUUGUUAAAUCCUCCAAGUCCGAGCGGUGCUGAAGUUUUCUCUACGGACUCCAGUCUUUGGAGUAUUUGACCUGUCAGAUGACGGAGCGAGCCCACAGACUUCAGCUCAGACUAAAAGAUGCGAUGAAACACCGCAGAGCUGAUCUGCUCAUGUCAGGAGUUAGGAAGCUGGUGCAUGCUGUGAGGAAGUCGUCAGUGGCUUAAUGAAGCAAUAAUAAAACUGAGACUGUAGCACAUGAGACGCUGAGAAGACUACUGGAGUCAGAUCUUUCAGCUGCACUCAUUUGGAUGGAUGGGAGCGCCUGUGUCCAACAUAUAGAGCUGAAGCUGUGAGUCAGCGAGGAAACACGAGUCUCUGACGGAUCGGGGGCAGGCGGCUCCACAGUGGGGAGCCGUGACUUUGUGAAUGAAUGAAUGGAUGAAUGAAGGUUUCAGGAGGAGAAACAGAGAAGGGUGGGAAAGGUGAGGAGGUGCGAAGAUAAAACCCUGCGCAGGUCUGGACUGGCUCUGCCUGCGGCUGUCGUUCUUUCACCUCCUGCUGCAGCUGAACUGAACAAACAGUCCUGCUGCUCAGACCAGACUGGAACAACUCGCACCGCUCCAGUGAUUUCCAACAACAUGACCAGUUAAAGUUUAUAAAUAACUAACAAUAAUAACAAGCUUGUUUGGAACAAAGUUAAUAAUUUCUCAGGAGGAGCAGUGAAGGUGAGACGUAACCUGAGUCAGGAGACAAAAUAAUUCAUAGUGAGUGAUGUUAUACAAACCUUCUGACUCUGCAGCUGCAGGGAAAACUGAGGCGUUAACCAAGAGUUAAAGAGAAUUAACACCCAGGAUGUGAUUUCAUGCAGGUAAUUAGAGCUGGGUGUCAUCAGCGUAACGAUGGAGCUGAAUGUCAGAAGGAAGGAGGACAAACACACAGCUGUGAGGAACACCAGCAGAGACGUGGGAGGCUGGGAGUUCAAUGUUUUGAGUUGGACCAGCUGAGACGGUUAAAUUGUGACUCUCAGCUACUACCACACCUCAGUAUCACAGCAACAAUGACGGGGGAACCAGAGAACCUGGAGAAGACCCACAGAAAGAGCCCAGGUCUGAACCAGGACCUUCUUGCUGUGAGUCUGUCUGGUCCGAGCUGCUCCACCUGGACCACCCCAGAACUGAUGAACUGCGCCCCCACACUGGACUGGGCCUCCUGUGGUUCUGAGAGCAGGAGAACAAGCAGGUCCGGUUCAGAUGGGACCGUUGACAGAACGGUUGAAUGAAACCAGUUGAACAGGAAAAGGACAGAUAAAGAAGAGACGGCAGCUGGAGGACUGCUGAAGUCUUCUGUCCCUCUGACUCUUUAUCUGGAUCAACCGUCAGAGCUGCUUCAACAAAGCUGCUUCCUGUGGAUCCUGGCUGCUGUGUUUACACACCACUGCUGACUCAGCGUUUUGUUCCACAACAAUACGGUCACCUGACGUCCGUUGGCGGCACACACAGGGGUGCGUGGACCGUGUCGGGCUCUGAAAGGCCUUUGUUGGACGUGUUUAGUCUCUGCUCGGAGACACUUCCUGUUAACAGGGACUCUGUUGGAUGUGUUUAGUGUCUGCUCAGAGACACUUCCUGUUAACGGGGACUCUGUUGGACGUGUUUAGUCUCUGCUCAGAGACACUUCCUGUUAACGGGGACUCUGUUGGACGUGUUUAGUCUCUGCUCAGAGACACUUCCUGUUAACAGGGACUCUGUUGGACGUGUUUAGUCUCUGCUCGAGACACUUCCUGUUAACAGGGACUCUG